UGAGUAUGAAAGAUAAUCGCGUAUACUUUUUGUAUAUGAGGAAAGUCCGGGCUCCACAGGGCAAUGUGCUGGAUAACGUCCAGCGAGGGUGACCUCAGGGAAAGUGCUAUAGAAACUUAAACCGCCUAUGAAAAUAGGUAAGGGUGGAAAGGUGCGGUAAGAGCGCACCAGCGUGCAGGUGACUGUACGGCUAGGUAAACCCCACAUGGAGCAAGACCGAAUAGGGAAGGGAUGAAGUGGCCCGCUGAGCCUUCCGGGUUGUGUCGCUAGAGCUUAUAGGUAACUAUAAGUCCAGAUAAAUGAUUAUCACCACGCAAGUGGAACAAAACUCGGCUUAUUGAUUACUCAUAUC
rnacentral:RNase_P_RNA from 1 species